UACCAGCUCUCCGAGUUGUAGGGAUGAUUAUUGGGCUUAAAGCGUCCGUAGCUGGCUUAGCAAGUCUCCUGUUAGAUUCAGCGACCUAAUCGUUGAGCCGCGGGAGAUACUACUAGGCUAGGAGGCGGGAGAGGUCGACGGUACUUUCGGGGUAGGGGUGAAAUCCUAUAAUCCCGGGAGGACCACCAGUGGCGAAGGCUGUCGACUAGAACGCGCUCGACGGUGAGGGACGAAAGCUGGGGGAGCGAACCGGAUUAGAUACCCGGGUAGUCCCAGCUGUAAACUAUGCGGGCUAGGUGUUGGGGUGGCUACGGGCCACUUCAGUGCCGCAGGAAAGCCAUUAAGCCCGCCGCCUGGGGAGUACGGUCGCAAGGCUGAAACUUAAAGGAAUUGGGCGGGGAGCACCACAAGGCGUGAAGCUUGCGGUUC
rnacentral:rRNA from 1 species